rnacentral:rRNA from 1 species
UGGGGAAUAUUGGACAAUGGGGGCAACCCUGAUCCAGCAAUUCUGUGUGCACGAUGAAGGUUUUCGGAUUGUAAAGUGCUUUCAGCAGGGAAGAAAAAAAUGACGGUACCUGCAGAAGAAGCGACGGCUAAAUACGUGCCAGCAGCCGCGGUAAUACGUAUGUCGCAAGCGUUAUCCGGAAUUAUUGGGCAUAAAGGGCAUCUAGGCGGCCAGAUAAGUCUGGGGUGAAAACUUGCGGCUCAACCGCAAGCCUGCCCUGGAAACUAUGUGGCUAGAGUACUGGAGAGGUGGACGGAACUGCACGAGUAGAGGUGAAAUUCGUAGAUAUGUGCAGGAAUGCCGAUGAUGAAGAUAGUUCACUGGACGGUAACUGACGCUGAAGUGCGAAAGCUAGGGGAGCAAACAGGAUUAGAUACCCUGGUAGUCCUAGCUGUAAACGAUGAUUACUGGGUGUGGGCAUGAAGAGUGUCCGUGCCGAAACUAAUGCGAUAAGUAAUCCGCCUGGGGAGUACGGCCGCAAGNCUG